rnacentral:lncRNA from 1 species
AAGCAAUAAAGAAUUCCUUUAAAAUACUGAAAAUAGAAAUCUUAAUAUAACCUUAAUUAAAACUCUAAUUAAAUCUUAAUCAAAUCCUAAAUCAAAUCCUAAUUAAAAUCUUAAUUAAAUCUUAACUAAAUCCUAAUCAACUUCUAAAUCAAAUCCUAAUCCUAAUCAAAUCCUAGAUCAAAUCUUAAGCCCUAACCAAACUAUAAACAAAUCCUAAAG